CAAGUUGGCCGCAUCUCUGAAGGCCAGCUAAUAAGCCCAACAAGCUCACACUUAUCACUAGGCCCGACCACCUCUUCUUCCACCAGAUCGCCGGCCACCGGAACUCCUCCUCCUCCGGCACAUUCCCACUCCCGAGCGGUCCGCAGGUCCCCCAUCCACAUCCCUGUCCAGUCUCCGUCGCGCGGCUCGACAGGAUGCCGUUUCUUGGCUUGGCUAGAUGCGGGAGACGCGAGAGGAGAUCCACCGGCGGGAGACGAGGAGCGAUGUCGGACGCGGCUUCAUGCUCCGCGCGCAUCAGGCGGCGGCGCCUGGACGCCGGAGGAGGCGCCGGAGGAUCGGCUCCACUCCGCCCUGGUCUGGCCUGAAAUGGGUUUUGGAAGAUGGACAGGAUAAAAGAUUCUAAUAGGCAAGCUAAAACAGUUGGAUGAUCUUAUAGAAAAAAUUGAGUGCAAGCGGUAUGUCAGGCUGAGCAGCAUUCUGCAGUCCUCUGCUACUUGCAAGGUGAAAAUAACCGACUAACGAGCAAGCGUGUGCCGAGCGUUUGUCAGGAAGCGCAAACACUUGGUGGUGGGACAGGAACGCCAUCGUCGAGUAAGAUUCAGUUUAUAUGGGAGAAAUAACGAUGAUGCAGUCGCCUAUUCAGUUUAUAUGGGAGAAAUAACGAUGAUGCAGUCGCCUUCCUUCUAGGAGUAGGAUGGAAUCAAUAGACCUCCUUUACUACGCACAAAUCCAAGAGCGAGGCUGCAGCAGCAUGUCGCUCCUUGUGAUGAUCUAGCUGCUGACCAAUCUGCAAGUGCUACCAGGUGAAUAUUGUUCAGCCACGGCGGCACCUAGGAAAGCGAACUGCUGUUUCUGAGAAGAUGAGGAGCAUUCAGUAAACAAAGCAUUGGGGGAUCGGAUGUUUUCAGACUGUCGAAUAAAGCCUACGCUCCAACCUUUGAACAUUGUACUUUAUUAUUAAAGCACACAUACUCAUAGAGCACAUCGUAUCAAUUCUUCUUCUUCCUUUGUUUGGCGCUUCUGUGAAAAUUCAUUAGACUAUCAGCAGAUUCUAUGUAGUA